GAUGAAGAACGCAGCGAAAUGCGAUAAGUAAUGUGAAUUGCAGAAUUCAGUGAAUCAUCGAAUCUUUGAACGCACAUUGCGCCCCCUGGUAUUCCGGAGGGCAUGCCUGUUCGAGCGUCAUUAUAACCACUCAAGCUCUCGCUUGGUAUUGGGGUUCGCGGUUCCGCGGCCCCUAAAAUCAGUGGCGGUGCCUGUCGGCUCUACGCGUAGUAAUACUCCUCGCGAUUGAGUCCGGUAGGUCUACUUGCCAGCAACCCCCAAUUUUUACAGGUUGACCUCGGAUCAGGUAGGGAUACCCGCUGAACUUAAGCAUAUCAAUAAGCGGAGGA
rnacentral:misc_RNA from 1 species